GGGUCAAGUAAAAGCUUGGACUUGUGUGCAACGCAUCCUUGGCUUUGGAUUUUAAGGACGCGAACGAGAAUUAACAGCGUUUCAAGGGAAUCUGUUGGAGAUGGUUUCAAGAUGUAGAACUCUUGUAAGUGAAGUAUCCCAAAUGAAUUUGGAACAUCCACAUUGAGACUGCUUCAUAUCCUGAAAUUGAAGAGUGCCACGGGAAGGCUGUAUCACUGUACCAUGAGCUGCUUGGGCUUUUAAAGUGUUGGAUGGAGUUUUAAUCAUAUGAGGUAA